GAUGAACGCUGGCGGCGUGCUUAACACAUGCAAGUCGAACGGAAAGGCUCCUGCUUGCAGGGGUACUCGAGUGGCGAACGGGUGAGUAACACGUGGGUGAUCUGCCCUGCACUUCGGGAUAAGCCUGGGAAACUGGGUCUAAUACCGGAUAGGACGAUGGUUUGGAUGCCAUUGUGGAAAGUUUUUCGGUGUGGGAUGAGCUCGCGGCCUAUCAGCUUGUUGGUGGGGUAAUGGCCUACCAAGGCGUCGACGGGUAGCCGGCCUGAGAGGGUGUACGGCCACAUUGGGACUGAGUUACGGCCCAGACUCCUACGGGAGGCAGAAGUGGGGAAUAUUGAACAAUGGGCGCAAGCCUGAUGCAGCGACGCCGCGUGGGGGAUGACGGACUUCGGGUUGUAAACUCCUUUCGCUAGGGACGAAGCGUUUUGUGACGGUACCUGGAGAAGAAGCACCGGCUAACUACGUG
rnacentral:rRNA from 1 species